rnacentral:rRNA from 1 species
UCCCCUAGUAACUGCGAGUGAAGCGGGAAAAGCUCAAAUUUAAAAUCUGGCAGUCUCUCUUUUUUUCUUUGGCUGUCCGAGUUGUAAUCUAGAGAAGUGCUUACCCGUGCUGGACCAUGUAUAAGUCUCCUGGAAUGGAGCGUCAUAGAGGGUGAGAAUCCCGUCUUNGACAUGGACUUGCCAGUGCAUAGUGGUGUGCUCUCAAAGAGUCGAGUUGUUUGGGAAUGCAGCUCUAAAUGGGUGGUAAACUCCAUCUAAAGCUAAAUAUUGGCGAGAGACCGAUAGCGAACAAGUACCGUGAGGGAAAGAUGAAAAGGACUUUGGAAAGAGAGUUAAACAGUAUGUGAAAUUGUUGAAAGGGAAACACUUGAAGUCAGUNGUGUCUGCUUAGGGAUCAACUCANCUCAUUUUGCUGGGUGAACUUCCUAGUGUGACAGGCCAACAUCAGUUCUGACUGUUGGAAAAGAGCNGAGGGAAUGUGGCACCUUUGGGUGUGUUAUAGCCUUUUGUCAUAUAUAGCAGUNGGGACUGAGGAAUUGCAGCGCGCCGCNAGGCAGGGUCUUUGACCACGUU